UGCUGAGAAAUGUCAGGAAGCCUCAAUA
rnacentral:piRNA from 1 species